rnacentral:lncRNA from 1 species
ACUUUCAAAUAAGGUGAUCCCAGUUUGCCUGUUUGGGAAUAUGACAACUUCUUCGUCAUUCUAAUCAAACCAUGAUGAAUCGCGAUGUAAGAACAUUCAUUUGGAUACAUAAACCAGUGGAGAAUCACCAGGAAGUUGAAUAAAUCUCAUAAGAGUUAGGAUGAAGAAGUUAUCCCACUUUCAAAUAAGGUGAUCCCAGUUUGCCUGUUUGGGAAUAUGACAACUUCUUCGUCAUUCUAAUCAAACCAGGGUGAAUCGCUAUGUACAAAGC